rnacentral:rRNA from 1 species
ACGGUCCUAAGGUAGCGAAAUUCCUUGUCGGGUAAGUUCCGACCUGCACGAAUGGCAUAAUGAUGGCCAGGCUGUCUCCACCCGAGACUCAGUGAAAUUGAAAUCGCCGUGAAGAUGCGGUGUACCCGCGGCUAGACGGAAAGACCCCGUGAACCUUUACUAUAGCUUGACACUGAACAUUGAAUUUUGAUGUGUAGGAUAGGUGGGAGACUUAGAAGUAGUCACGCCAGUGAUUAUGGAGUCGUCCUUGAAAUACCACCCUUUAACGUUUGAUGUUCUAACGAAGAUUACGAAACGUGGUCUCGGACAGUGUCUGGUGGGUAGUUUGACUGGGGCGGUCUCCUCCCAAAGAGUAACGGAGGAGCACGAAGGUUUGCUAAUGACGGUCGGACAUCGUCAGGUUAGUGCAAUGGUAUAAGCAAGCUUAACUGCGAGACAGACAAGUCGAGCAGGUACGAAAGUAGGUCAUAGUGAUCCGGUGGUUCUGAAUGGAAGGGCCAUCGCUCAACGGAUAAAAGGUACUCCGGGGAUAACAGGCUGAUACCGCCCAAGAGUUCAUAUCGACGGCGGUGUUUGGCACCUCGAUGUCGGCUCAUCACAUCCUGGGGCUGAAGUAGGUCCCAAGGGUAUGGCUGUUCGCCAUUUAAAGUGGUACGCGAGCUGGGUUUAGAACGUCGUGAGACAGUUCGGUCCCUAUCUGCCGUGGGCGUUGGAGAAUUGAUUGGGGCUGCUCCUAGUACGAGAGGACCGGAGUGGACGCACCACUGGUGUUCCGGUUGUGUCGCCAGACGCAUUGCCGGGUAGCUAAGUGCGGAAGAGAUAAGUGCUGAAAGCAUCUAAGCACGAAACUUGCCAAGAGAUGAGUUCUCCCUGUCUUUAAGACAGUAAGGGUUGUUUAAGACUAAGACGUAGAUAGGUCUGGUGUGUAAGCGGUGCGAGCCGUUGAGCUAACAGAUACUAAUUGCCCGAGAGGCUUAACUAU